UACGGAGGAUCCAAGCGUUAUCCGGAAUCAUUGGGUUUAAAGGGUCCGUAGGCGGUUUGGUAAGUCAGUGGUGAAAGCCCAUCGCUCAAGCGGUGGAACGGCCAUUGAUACUGCCAGACUUGAAUUAUUAGGAAGUAAACUAGAAUAUGUAGUGUAGCGGUGAAAUGCUUAGAGAUUACAUGGAAUACCAAUUGCGAAGGCAGGUUACUACUAAUGGAUUGACGCUGAUGGACGAAAGCGUGGGUAGCGAACAGG
rnacentral:rRNA from 1 species